AUAAUUAUUUAUACUCUUGGACAGUACAUUUGUGUUCUUUAACCAUAAUGAAGUUAUUAUAUUUCUUUACGUUACUGUGCUGUAUAAAUAUUUGUUUAAGUGUUAAGAAAUAUUAUUCGCGUCCGCGUCCUCAAUAUGAAAUAGCUGAGAACGAUGUCGACACCGAAAAUAUUUGUCUCUUGCCCUUCAAGAUUGAGAGUGCCGAGCACAUUUCUAUAGAUACGGAUACGAUCCAGAGAUAAAAGCGUGCAGGGUAUUCGUAUACGGUGGUUGCAGAGGAAACGCUAACAACUUCAAGACCUUAGAAGAAUGCCAAAAAGCCUGUGAAGCCUAAGUACCUAGACUUCGCCAAAUUUGUUUUUAAUAUAAUUUUAUAUUAAAAAGUUAUAAAUAUA